rnacentral:rRNA from 1 species
CGCGCAGGCGGGUCAAUAAGUCAGAGGUGAAAUCCUACAGCUUAACUGUAGAACUGCCUUUGAUACUGUUGAUCUUGAGUAUGGAAGAGAGAGACGGAAUUCCAGGUGUAGUGGUGAAAUACGUAGAUAUCUGGAAGAACACCAGUUGCGAAGGCGGUCUCUUGGUCCAAUACUUGACGCUGAGGCGCGAAAGCGUGGGUAGCAAACA